rnacentral:pre_miRNA from 1 species
CAAGUACUGGUCUCAGCAGAUUGAAGAGAGCACCACAGUGGUCACCAUGCAGUCUGCCGAGGUUGGAGCUGC